UUGGAGUUUGUAAGGCACAUUAAGCAUGCU
rnacentral:piRNA from 1 species